CCAUCAAUGAGAUGACAGGGAAACGGGAUUCAAAAAUGUAGAGGGCGAAAGGGAAUGCUUCCUGUAUGUCUCCAGUGCGGGCGCCAUUUUACUGUGGACACGGCCGUUAGAUAUAAAGAGCGUUGGUCUCCGGGAAAGUUGUCGAUGUAUUAUUUGGGGCCCCUUGGCAGUCUGUCUUUGUGGACCUCAAGUUGGGCCAGAUGAUCAUCUCUCUGCUGGGAGCCAACCUGCAGUGUUUUCCAGAGCCAAUAAAGGGAUCAACCACCUGAGGAACUGCUCAACAGAACAUCUACACUCCAUACGGGCUAACCUUCAGUGCCAUUUGCUAACUCUACUCUACUUUGUUGUUGGAACUGCUCAAGAUAUGUGCCUCCACUACUGUUCAAAUUCUGAAACUUAUGGUGUAUAGGGGCAGAGAGCAGAAAACCGAGCCAGCGCUUUUUACUAACGAUAUAAUAUUAUUCAUUGUAAGCCUUACGAAGAUACACAUAUGGAUUGCAAUAAUAAAAAAAUUCUGCAAUGAA